rnacentral:rRNA from 1 species
GACGAACGCUGGCGGCGUGCUUAACACAUGCAAGUCGAGCGGUAAGGCCCUUUCGGGGGUACACGAGCGGCGAACGGGUGAGUAACACGUGGGUGACCUGCCCUCAGCUCUGGGAUAAGCCUGGGAAACUGGGUCUAAUACUGGAUAUGACUCCACGGUGCAUGUCGUGGGGUGGAAAGCCUUGUGCGGCUGAGGAUGGGCCCGCGGCCUAUCAGCUUGUUGGUGGGGUGANGGCCUACCAAGGCGACGACGGGUAGCCGGCCUGAGAGGGCGACCGGCCACACUGGGACUGAGACACGGCCCAGGCUCCUACGGGAGGCAGCAGUGGGGAAUCUUGCGCAAUGGGCGAAAGCCUGACGCAGCGACGCCGCGUGAGGGAUGACGGCCU